rnacentral:misc_RNA from 1 species
GAAAUGCGAUAACUAGUGUGAAUUGCAGAAUUCCGUGAAUCAUCGAGUCUUUGAACGCACAUUGCGCCCCCUGGUAUUCCGGGGGGCAUGCCUGUCCGAGCGUCAUUGCUGCCCAUCAAGCACGGCUUGUGUGUUGGGUCGUCGUCCCCUCUCCGGGGGGGACGGGCCCCAAAGGCAGUGGCGGCACCGCGUCCGAUCCUCGAGCGUAUGGGGCUUUGUCACCCGCUCUGUAGGCCCGGCCGGCGCUUGCCGAACGCAAAUCAAUCUUUUUCCAGGUUGACCUCGGAUCAGGUAGGGAUACCCGCUGAACUUAAGC